rnacentral:rRNA from 2 species
ACGCCCUACGGGGGAAAAAUUUAUUGCUAUUAGAUGAGCCUAUAUUAGAUUAGUUAGUUGGUGAGGUAAAGGCUUACCAAGACAAUGAUCUAUAGCUGAUCUGAGAGGAUGAUCAGCCACACUGGAACUGAGAUACGGUCCAGACUCCUACGGGAGGCAGCAGUGGGGAAUAUUGGACAAUGGGCGAAAGCCUGAUCCAGCCAUGCCGCAUGAGUGAAGAAGGCCUUCGGGUUGUAAAGCUCUUUUAGUGAGGAAGAUAAUGACGGUACUCACAGAAGAAGUCCUGGCUAACUCCGUGCCAGCAGCCGCGGUAAUACGGAGAGGGCUAGCGUUAUUCGGAAUCAUUGGGCGUAAAGGGCGCGUANGCGGGUUAGUAAGUUAAAAGUGAAAUCCCAAGGCUCAACCUUGGAACUGCUUUUAAAACUGCUAGUCUAGAGAUUGAAAGAGGAUAGAGGAAUUCCUAGUGUAGAGAUGAAANUCGUAAAUAUUANGAGGAACA